CAGUAGCCACGGUAAUACGGAGGGUGCAAGCGUUAAUCGGAAUUACUGGGCGUAAAGCGCACGCAGGCGGUCUGACAAGUCAGAUGUGAAAUCCCCGGGCUUAACCUGGGAACUGCAUUUGAAACUGUCAGGCUGGAGUCUUGUAGAGGGGGGUGGAAUUCCAGGUGUAGCGGUGAAAUGCGUAGAGAUCUGGAGGAAUACCGGUGGCGAAGGCGGCCCCCUGGACAAAGACUGACGCUCAGGUGCGAAAGCGUGGGGAGCAAACAGGAUUAGAUACCCCUGUAGUCCCUGUCUCUUAUAA
rnacentral:rRNA from 1 species